rnacentral:pre_miRNA from 1 species
UAUAAUAUUUCACGCUUCGUCUUAUUAAAAAAUAUAAUUAAUAUUUUUAUUUUUAUUAGAUGAUAAAUCAUGAAUAAUAUUUUAUGUGUGACUAAUUUUUUUUACUUCUUAAAAAAAUUUCAAAUAAAACGGAUGGUUAAACGUUGAACACGGAUGGUCA